CUCCAUCCAAGCACGAUCAGGUAUCUGACCGCUGUGUGGUGUGGAUAAGAUCUGGCGUCCCUAGUUCCACCACAAGUUUAACUCCACAGCCCAAGUUGGAAAGGAGUCCAAGCCCUGAGCGCAUUUUGAUUCGCCGCUCUGCCCCUGCGAGGAGGAGCCACGGGGAUGUGAAGACAAAUGUUUGCACUGCUGGGAACGUUCAUCAAGCGUGCAGUUAAAACGCGGGUACAUGCGAAAGUUUGUCAUGCUGUUUACUGGAAACCGAAGGUCUGAAUUGGAGCCAACAACCGCAACAGCUGAGAGGAGGCCCCAGAAGCCUCUCACAAAAGUAGAGGGAAGUUUGACAUGAUUGCAUCCCUAAAUUUAAACCCUGUGCAAACAGAAUACCUGGCAGCAGCUCUGUGCGCAACGCUGCAUUCACAUGCUCUUUGGUAUACAGAAGGCUAUGUCUGUCCCAAUCUGAUCUUCAGCCCUAUCAGGAAUGGACUAUGUAAUGAUGAGAGUUGUCAUGUUGUAGACAUACAAACGGGGGCUGGGUGUUGGAAUUCAGCAGAGAAUUUCCUGCCAGUUUAAAUCCUCGAUAUACCUGGAGCUUCAGAAGAUGAUCCAAAACACAUGCAACCAAAUCCAUCACACUGCUUCAGUCAGUUGGCCACAAUACACCAAGCAGAGAGAGACAGACAAAAGAAAUGAAGGACACCCAAAAUCUUUUUUUCUGAAAAGUUUGAUCGUUAGUUCAUUCAUUCAUUCACUCAUUCAUUCAUUUAUUUAUUUAGUAAGUGAUUAAUUCAUUAAUUUUAUUAAAUACAUUUUUAUUUGUUAUUAUUAUUUUUUAUUUUUUAUUUCCUAUAUAUUUAUAAUAUAAUAAGUA
ensembl:lncRNA